GACGGGACCCCGCACAAGCAGCGGAGCGUGUGGUUUAAUUCGAGGCUACACGAAGAACCUUUACCAGGGUUUGACAUGCAAGUGGUAGGAAUCCGAAAGGUGACCGACCCUUCGGGGAGCUUGCACAGGUGCUGCAUGGCUGUCGUCAGCUCGUGUCGUGAGAUGUUCGGUUAAGUCCGCUAACGAGCGCAACCCUCGUCGUGUGUUAUACGUGUCACACGAUACUGCCGGUAUCAAGCCGGAGGAAGGUGGGGAUGAUGUCAAGUCAGCAUGGCCUUUAUAUCCUGGGCUACACACACGCUACAAUGGCAGAUACAAUAGGUUGCGAAACCGCGAGGUGGAGCCAAUCCUCAAAGUCUGUCUCAGUUCAGAUUGUAGGCUGCAACUCGCCUGCAUGAAGUUGGAGUUGCUAGCAAACGCAGGUCAGCUAUGCUGCGUUGAAUACGUUCCCGGGGUUU
rnacentral:rRNA from 1 species